GAUGAACGCUAGCUACAGGCUUAACACAUGCAAGUCGAGGGGCAGCACGGAGAUAGCUUGCUAUCUUGGGUGGCGACCGGCGCACGGGUGAGUAACGCGUAUCCAACCUGCCCAUUACUCUGGGAUAGCCUUGCGAAAGUAAGAUUAAUACCGGAUGUUGUUAAAAACCCGCAUGAGUUUUUAACCAAAGAUUUAUUGGUAAUGGAUGGGGAUGCGUGACAUUAGGUAGUUGGUGAGGUAACGGCUCACCAAGCCGACGAUGUCUAGGGGUUCUGAGAGGAAGGUCCCCCACACUGGAACUGAGACACGGUCCAGACUCCUACGGGAGGCAGCAGUGAGGAAUAUUGGUCAAUGGACGAGAGUCUGAACCAGCCAAGUAGCGUGCAGGAUGACGGCCCUCUGGGUUGUAAACUGCUUUUAGUUGGGAAUAAAAAGAGGGACGUGUCCCUAAUUGUAUGUACCAUCAGAAAAAGGACCGGCUAAUUCCGUGCCAGCCGCCGCAGUAAGAC
rnacentral:rRNA from 1 species